rnacentral:lncRNA from 1 species
GGCCGGGCCGCCCAGAGCUCGCCAUUGGGCCUCACUCCCGGGGUCCCGAGCGCCGGCCAUGCUGAUUGGCCGCUGGGGCUUCAUUCACAGCCCCCCUACAGUCCGCAUACACACUCACGCCCCGGGGGCGCGGCCGCCACGUGGGGAGUGGCGCGGGGGUGGUACUGGGACCGCACCCCCUCUCGUCCUGGCUGCGUGGGCCCGCUUUCCCCGGUCUCUGGAGACUCCGAGCCCGGCGGGUCCCACGCUCCACGCGAGCAGAAUUCCCGCAGGUCUCCCGCCCGGGUGGCCAGAGGCGGUGGCGGGGAUGGCGGGCUCCGGGAGGCGCUCCGGCUCCGAGAAGCCGCUUAGCCCCGCGCUCCUCCCUCCGCAGUGCCGCCGCCGGCGGGCCGGGAUUCCCGCGGGUCUCGGCGGCCGCGAGCUGCAGGCGGCGCAGGUCCCCGGCUCGGUUGGUCACCUUGCCCGCCUCGCCUCCCACGGCUUCCAGCGGGCGCGGAGCUCUCCUCUGCGCGCCUCCCCGGCCCGUCUCGGUUUCCCUUCUUCGUCCUCUAGACCAUCCAGCGCAACUCCGUCGACCUCCGCGGCCCUGAGAGAGCAUCCGGCGCGGGCAGAGGCGUACCGGCCCGACCUCACGCCUCUCAUGGACUCUUCUCCAGGGUACCAUGGCCCAGAUGAGAAACUGAGUCUCCAGGGAGUUAAGUGA